UACGGGGGGAGCAAGCGUUGUUCGGAUUUACUGGGCGUAAAGGGCGCGUAGGCGGUCAGCACAAGUCAGUUGUGAAAUCUCCGGGCUUAACUCGGAAAGGUCAACUGAUACUGUGUGACUAGAGUGCGGAAGGGGCAACUGGAAUUCUCGGUGUAGCGGUGAAAUGCGUAGAUAUCGAGAGGAACACCUGCGGCGAAGGCGGGUUGCUGGGCCGACACUGACGCUGAUGCGCGAAAGCCAGGGGAGCAAACAGG
rnacentral:rRNA from 1 species